rnacentral:misc_RNA from 1 species
UGCAGCAGUGGUUGGUUGGAGGGGCCUAACAAGGUUUACAUACCAUUCCUCGCCUGUGGUGAUCUCAGCGGGUACGACUCAGACCGUUCUUAUCCACUCCCAACGAACACAGGAGGCGGUUCUUACCAAAGCUUGGAUCCAGUUCAGCCUCCCAUUGCCCCUCCUUACAAAACAGCUCUGGAACUGAAGAAAGCUUCUAAUCACGGGAUUUUAGAAAUUGACAAGCUCUCUCUCGAUUCCUGAGACUUGUGUGAGGAGAUUUUAUUUAUGUAGUUUUAAG